rnacentral:lncRNA from 1 species
AGAAAGAAAAAAAAAACCUAAACAUAAAAAACACACCCGCCCCCCUCUCUAAUUUUCUCAAAACCACCCUCUCAAUCCCUAGGAAAUCUCCCUAGCCGUCACACCCGAACGUUCCCUGUCCCCUACGUCUUCCUCACGAGCAUCCAUCGACGACCACUCAGUCGUAGUCUCCGAUGUCCACUGCCCAGCCCGUCGUUCUCCAUCCUCAUCCCGUCGUCUGCAGCUGACCCCACUGCCCAGCGACCACGACCCAGCCCCACGACCAACUUUUUUCGUCAGCAGCUUCUGCUUCAGCGUCACAACCAGCCCGUCGUCCACUCCAAUCAUCCAUAAAUCCCAUCAUCCAUCAGCAACCAUAAACAACUAACGCUUCUACUUCGUCGUUCUUCUGUUUCGAACCCAUAACGUCCCUCUAUUUGUCGUCCUCGCCGUUGUUGAAGUUGUACGGUCAAGUUCAAAUUCGGGAAACAGUUUGUUGUUCGAGGCCGUUGGUUUGAAAAUCGUCGUGUUGAGUCCCGGUCUCAAUGGUCUAUUCGAUUAGUCCAUGUAACUGCUAGAGUUUCAUUAAGUGAAAGAAAUUUCAGGUUUAUUUCUGAUUUUCAUGUAUUUAAUGGGUUAUAAGUGAUUUGUGAUUUACAUAUGUUUAUGUGAAUAAUGUAGUCCUUUUGCUUCUUAGUUUGUUUCUUCUAAUUUUUUGUUUUUGUUUUUUGUUUGAAGAAUUCGAACUAGUUAGUAAAGCUUUUUUUAAAAUUGUAGUUGUUCGGUGUUAUUGUUUAGCUCAAAUGGUUUUAGUUUGUAGGAUGUUUGUUUCUUUUUGUUGUUUGUCAUAUGGAUUAAAUUUGCAUUUCGACUCAGUUAAAUUGUGAUUCAUAUUGUUUUAACUUAUUUUGAUAUGUAUAAUUCAAUCUGAGUUCAUUGGAUUUAUUUAUUUAAUAUGAUUAGGUGAAUUGGUUAUAUCUAUAGUGAUUUGGUGAUUAAUUAGGAAUCAUUUUUGGUCAGCUAUAAUUUUGUUACAGAUUGAAAUUUUGGGGGUAGAAUACUAAUUUUAGUAGUUUUAGGGGUAAUACGGGAGUUAACCAAUUGCAGAUUUAUUUAAUUUAAGUGCUCUGUCCACUAAGCUCAAUAAUAGUAAAAUAUUAUAGUGGGGAACAAGACAUAUGGUAGUGGAAAUCUAAUAUACUUAUUUAAGUGCUGGUAGGGAACAAGACAUAAUGAUGUAAAGUAAAAGGGGUGGGGGGAGUAUGGGGUCCAUAUUGAUGCUUUUACUUAAAUAGAAAUCAGAAAUAGUAUAGGUAAUAAUAAAAGUUAAAAGAUACACAUAGUUAGAGCAAUAUUAGGCUAGAAAGUAAAGAGUGGUAAAAGGUUUAGUAAUAAUAGUUUAAAAGUGAAAGUUAAUAGUUAAAGGGUAGAAGAAAGGGUCUUGUCUUUUGAGUACUAAAUAUGGGUGAUUUGACACUUAAAGGGGACUGAAUUUGGACAUCAAAAUUUUCUAAACUCAAUAAAAAAGCGAGACUUUUAAUCUGAAGGGCGAAGGAUGGAGAGAAAAGGAUUGACUUUCAAAAUCGUAGAGAGAAUAUUGCGACCUUAAAUUUGGACUGAUUUUUCUUUUAAUCGGGAUGAGUCAGUAGUUUGAGAGUGUACUAUUUCGCGUGUUAAAGAAUAGAAAAUCAGAACUAUCCCAUUGCAUCUUUAGUUUCUGGUUCAUCCUGUUCUGCCUGUUAGUUUUAUUGGCAUUUCUGGACUUUCGUUUGGUUUUUCCUAAGUUUGGUUAGUUUUUGGGUUACUGUUUCACUGGUUGUUGGUGUUUUUCCGGAUGGUAUCCAAAUCUGUUUCUGAGCUAUUGCACUGCUGUUCUGUUGACUUUGUUGUUGUGUUGUCACAACUACUGCUGUUGAUCAUUCCUUUUUCUUCUCCAUUAUAUUCCAUUUCCAGGUACACGUUUCGAAUCACCACGAUGUAACUUAAAUUGAAGUUGAAAUGGAAGUAUGCAGCAAACCUGCAGAUUGGGAUGUUAUUUGUUGUCUUUAACUCAAUAGAUGUUAAAUGAAGUAGAAUCAUUCAAUAUUAUUUGUUUAUAUGAUGUAUGAAUAAUAGAAACAUGACUGUGUAACUAGAAUUGUGUUAGGCAUUUGGGCUAUUUUUUUCUUUUUAUGAUGAGACAUUAAACUAUGUAUGUAGCUUUUCAAUGUUAUAUCCAGUAGUGGUAAUCUAAAA